rnacentral:rRNA from 1 species
GAUGAACGCUGACAGAAUGCUUAACACAUGCAAGUCAACUUGAACUUCGGUUUGGGUGGCGGACGGGUGAGUAACGCGUAAAGAACUUGCCUCACAGAUAGGGACAACAUUUGGAAACGAAUGCUAAUACCUGAUAUUAUGAUUAUAUGGCAUCGUAUAAUUAUGAAAGCUAUAUGCGCUGUGAGAGAGCUUUGCGUCCCAUUAGCUAGUUGGAGAGGUAACGGCUCACCAAGGCGAUGAUGGGUAGCCGGCCUGAGAGGGUGAUCGGCCACAAGGGGACUGAGACACGGCCCUUACUCCUACGGGAGGCAGCAGUGGAGAAUAUUGGACAAUGGACCAAGAGUCUGAUCCAGCAAUUCUGUGUGCACGAUGAAGUUUUUCGGAAUGUAAAGUGCUUUCAGUUGGGAAGAAAAAAAUGACGGUACCAACAGAAGAAGUGACGGCUAAAUACGUG